rnacentral:rRNA from 1 species
AACGAACGCUGGCGGCAGGCUUAACACAUGCAAGUCGAACGAGAUCUUCGGAUCUAGUGGCAGACGGGUGAGGAACACGUGGGAACAUCCCUUUCAGUUCGGAAUAACGUUGGGAAACUAACGCUAAUACCGGAUACGUCCUUCUGGAGAAAGAUUUAUCGCUGAAAGAUUGGCCCGCGUCUGAUUAGCUAGUUGGUGAGGUAAUGGCUCACCAAGGCUACGAUCAGUAGCUGAUCUGAGAGGAUGAUCAGCCACAUUGGGACUGAGACACGGCCCAAACUCCUACGGGAGGCAGCAGUGGGGAAUAUUGGACAAUGGGCGCAAGCCUGAUCCAGCCAUGCCGCGUGAGUGAUGACGGCCUUCGGGUUGUAAAGCUCUUUUGUCCGGGAAGAUAAUGACUGUACCGGAAGAAUAAGCCCCGGCAAACUUCGUGCCAGCAGCCGCCGUAAAAC